rnacentral:lncRNA from 10 species
UUCUGCUGUAUCCCGCGAGUUUUGGUGCGUUGUAUUUCCAUUGUUCAAGUGAAUGUGUCUCCCACCACGUCCCUUGGUAGACAGUGCUGCUCCCAGACCCCAGCUGAGAGGAGAUGGAACUGCGUCACUGGCUGCUUCACCAUCCACAGCCUGGACUGAGCUGGGUGGGCCUGCUACUGGAAGUACAGGUGGGCAUGGCUCUUCCCACAUCCCUGGCUUGGCAGAUGGUGCCAGUUGCAGGAUCAAGCUCUGCCCACCAUUGAGCAGCCCAGGCAUCAUGGAGCCUCAGUACUCUUCCUUCGGGCCACAUGGCGCACUCCUUGGCUAGACCAUUCGUCAACCGCACCCGAGGUUUUC